GUAAAUUGUAAAUUUUUGAAUUAAUAAAAAAAUAAAAAUCUGUUCUUAUCAGUUUAAUAUCUGAUACAUAUUAAAUGGAUUUUUCGAACAGGGAGUCGGAAAUGGGGCUUGUUCCGUCCGCUCCAUGCAUUGACCCAGUAUUGCAGUACCUCUGGGAACGGUGCAACACUU
rnacentral:snRNA from 1 species